rnacentral:lncRNA from 1 species
GCCGAGUUUAUUGCCACGCUCUUAUUUUUACACAUCACUGUGUUGACAGUGAUCGGAUACAAGAGUCAGGUUGACCCUGAUAAGGGCAGUGACGAAUGCGGUGGUGUUGGCAUUCUUGGCAUUGCUUGGGCUUUUGGUGGGAUGAUCUUUAUCCUUGUUUACUGCACUGCUGGUAUCUCUGGUAAGUUUCGACUCUCUUCCCCUCAUGUGUUUGAUGAAAAAGGCCAUUUUUUUUCCAACUUCUUUUCGAAGUUGUUUUUCAUGGUUUACAGUAAUUGAGGUAAAAGAAAACCGGAUGAUGAUUUAGCAGAUGAGUAAUUGUUUAGCUGAAAUAAUGUGCAGGAGGACACAUCAACCCAGCAGUGACCUUUGGGCUUUUCUUGGCUAGGAAGGUGUCCUUAGUUCGAGCCAUAUUUUAUAUGGCUGCUCAAUGUUUGGGAGCCAUAUGUGGAUGUGGGCUAGUGAAGGCAUUCCAAAAGUCAUAUUACAACAAGUAUGGAGGAGGAGCCAACAGCCUCGCUGAUGGAUACAGCACUGGAACUGGUUUGGCAGCUGAAAUCAUUGGUACCUUUGUUCUUGUCUACACUGUUUUCUCUGCAACUGAUCCCAAGAGGAAUGCAAGAGAUUCUCAUAUCCCUGUAUGUGUUCAAUAGCUGCAAAUUUCGUAAUUAUUGCUCAAUUUCUUAAGUAUGUUCUUAGGUACUAAUUUUUCCAUUUUCUAAUUUAAGGUCUUGGCACCACUUCCUAUUGGAUUUGCUGUGUUCAUGGUUCACUUGGCAACUAUUCCAAUCACCGGCACCGGUAUCAACCCUGCUCGUAGUUUUGGGGCCGCUGUUAUCUACAACCAGGACAAGCCAUGGGAUGAUCAUGUAUGAACCUUAAACUUU